UAUUAUCCAAUAUAAAAGGACGGGUUAUUAUCCGAUCCGCUUUCCGCUCGCAACCAUACGGCCAUCUCUCCCCAGCCCUCCUCUUCCUCCUGCUGCCCAAUCGCCCACCUUCCUCCCUCUCUCCGCUUCUUCCCAGACUAGAAUCCAAACGCACCGCCAUCCUGAGAAACCCUAAUCGGAGCAUCGCGGCUCGGCGAUGCGACGAGCUUUGGGAAAUUUCCAUUUUUAGCUCCGAAUCGAUCCCUUCUUGCUGUCAGAGUUCAAGAAAAAUUAAAAGCGAGUGUUUUUUCAAUCUCUAUAUGCCCCUAUUCUAUUCUCUGGGUUGGAAGAGGAGCAAAUGCCGUGGGGCGGAGCCAAGGGCGGGCUGGGUGAUGGGAAAUGUCUGCCGCCGGCAAUCGUGGCUACCGUCACCGUUCUUGCUGUCGUUGAUGGGGGCAUUGCAAUCGUGGCCUUCUUGCAGUUAUUGAGAAUUCACUUACGGAAUCAACAACUUGGCUGGACUCGGCAAAAGAUUUUCCACCUCAUGAUUGGGUCGUCCAACUUAGGUUACUUGGCACAUUUCAUAUUUACUCUUGUUGCUACUUGUGGGGGUUGGCUCUGCUGGUCGCAUGGUUGUGGAUUUAUCUUGAUGGCUUGUCCUGAAAUUUUGUUUCUAGCUGCAUUUCUUCUGCUUUUAUCAUUUUGGGUUGACCUGUGCCAUCAGUCAAAUGAUGAAGAAGAAGAAGAAGAUGGAACUAGCUCCAAUGAAGCUUUGUUGGAAAAGUCAAGGACUAAAUCAAGUUCAUUACACACAGAUGGUCGUAGGAGAUGUUGCUCUUUCCAGUCCAUGCAUGUUGGAAGCCGACAAAAGUUUGUGAUCUUGGUGAUUGUGCUGACUUUUGUUUUUAUGAUUGCAUUUGCUCUCCUGAUUUGGAUUGGCAGAGCCAAAGAUCCUAUUGAUUCUUCACUCGUGGCCAGCGUAUAUUUGGACACCUUUUCUGUUGCCAUCCUUCUACUAGGGUGUGCUUUGGCACGCUACGGGUUACUGCUAUUCUCCAAAAUGAGCAAAAUACGAUCUGAGAUGGCCUCAACUGAAAUGUGGAAGGUUGCAAGUUUGGCAGCCCUCACUCUCAUAUGUUUCACAUUAUCUGCUGUACUAGCCCUUGCUACUAGUAUUCCUUUGCAGGUGCUGUCUUAUUGGCAUUCAGCACAUUUGAACAGCAUAAGCAGUUCAGUUCUAAUAUUUCUUUAUUACUUUAUAGGUUCAUCAGUGCCAUCAGGUUUUGUAUUGUGGGUCGUGAGAGAACUGCCUCCUCAGCUGGCAGCUCAUAGAUCAGAAGAAUCAAGGGUAGUGACAUUUAUCAGGGAAAGUCUGGUAGAUACCCAUAAUCUUCAGUGGAGGACUGCUGUCACAUCAUCACAGAGUAAGGUAUGCCCAAAAUAUCCUGUGCAAAUAUCCUUUUGCUUUAUACAAACAAUUGGCUACCUUAUAUCAGGUGGAAAGUUCUUGGUGACUCUCAAGAAAUAUGAAAAUACAGUAGCUGAUGUUUUCCCUUGAGGACCAUCAAGUCAAUUUCCCUUGACAUUUUAGCUUCUUAUGAAAUUCAACAUUUACAGCCCUGGGGUCUAAGAAGCAUGAGGGGUCAUCAUUUCAUAUAUCAUUUGAUGACAAGAUAUUAGUGCCUUAGAUAAUUUUUUGUUCAGGAAACAAAUAAAUUAAGAUGAUUAAUAUUUUCACGUAUUUUGAGCAAUCUACUUGCAUCUGAAUAGACGUUAUUUUUGUGGCUCUCUGAACUCAUUGUUUUAUGGGUAGCUUUUUUAGUUUUAAGACUGAACAUUAAUCAAGACUGUAUUUAUAUUUUUUGGUUGCUGCUCUAAAUAUCUCCCAAAAUGACUCUCAUGUUGCCUUAUCUUAGUUCCAAGCCAUUGUAUUUCAUUGAUACACCUUUAGAUACCAAGGUUUCCUUGAUUUGAAAAAGGCUCUCAAAGCAAGCCCCAUAUAACAACCUUGUCAGCUCAUAGUUCCCAGCUGAUUUAUGAAGUAACAGAGCAUUGCAACUGAAGCUAUGACUAGCUAAACCAACAGCACAAGGGUGGUGAUUGAGGCAUCGCACCAUGGUUCACUGCUUCUAUGGGGCUUAAUUGCAAUGAUAUGGAAAAGGACGGAUAUAAGCAUUCCGUUUCUUAUGAAUAGGCAUGCAAAUAAUAGGACAGUCGAGCUGUAAUAGGUUGGCAGCUUCUGUAGGCAGGUUCUUGGUCAUAGAUGCAUGUAAAUAACCAAGAAUUUUUUCGGGGGAUGUCAUUUUUAGAAUGAGUUAACAGUGUAUUUGAUCAUACCCUUUAUCUCCAAUUUUAUAUGUAAUUUGAUGUGCUAAUUCCAGUAUCUUACUGUUGAAUAUGUGUUGAGUUCACUA